GCUAAAACAAUUUCACAGGCAUUGCGGAAAGGCUUGUUGUUCUGAACAGACCACGACUGGAAAGGGACAUCAAUCCUAGGAAAUUAAAAGCAAAAUUCGGA
rnacentral:lncRNA from 1 species